GAGCCAAUCGCUGAGCUCGCUCUCCAUUGUGAGAUUUCAGGCCCAAUCGCUGAGCUUGCUCUCCAUUGUUGGAUUUGAGAGCCAGUCGCUGCUCUGUGAGAUUGGAUGACGACACUGGUGACGUCUAUUCUGACGAGCGCGCAAUAUAAAAUUAUCAUCGAGCAAUUUGACUAAUAAUAUUUCUUCUCGUCGAGCAACAUGAGCACUAAGCCAAAAAGCCACAAGGCCAUUGGGAGAUGAUGUGUGGAUGGCCAGGUUGAGGACUUUUGCCCGCUGUGGGGUUUGGCCUUCUGGAGAAGGCAACAGACCAGCCCCGAGGCAACGGAAGUGGUAUGACCUCUACCAGAAGAUUGAGAAAUGCCCCAUGCAGGCCCAUGGGCAGACCACCCUCUUUGGAGGCUCCAUGGCCUGCAAUUGUGGAUUCCACACCAGUAAG
ensembl:lncRNA